UUGAGGAAUAUUGCGCAAUGGAGGCAACUCUGACGCAGCCAUGCCGCGUGCAGGAAGAAGGCGCUACGCGUUGUAAACUGCUUUUAACCGGGAAGAAACCCCAGGACGUGUCCUGGGUUGACGGUACCGGAGGAAUAAGCACCGGCUAACUUCGUGCCAGCAGCCGCGGUAAUACGAAGGGUGCAAGCGUUAUCCGGACUCAUUGGGUUUAAAGGGUGCGUAGGCGGAGCGUUAAGUCAGUGGUGAAAUCCUGCAGCUUAACUGUAGACUUGCCAUUGAUACUGGCGCUCUUGAGUGCGCUUGAAGUGGGCGGAAUGUGCCGUGUAGCGGUGAAAUGCUUAGAUAUGGCACAGAACACCAAUUGCGAAGGCAGCUCACUAAGGCGAUACUGACGCUGAGGCACGAAAGCGUGGGGAUCGAACAGGAUUAGAAACCCCUGUAGUCC
rnacentral:rRNA from 1 species